GAUGAACGCUAGCUACAGGCUUAACACAUGCAAGUCGAGGGACCGGCGCACGGGUGAGUAACACGUAUCCAACCUGCCCUUUACUCGGGGGUAGCCUUUCGAAAGAGAGAUUAAUACCCGAUGUAAAGGAUGGGGAUGCGUUCCAUUAGGUUGUUGGUGUGGUAACGGCUCACCAAGCCUGCGAUGGCUAGGGGUUCUGAGAGGAAGGUGCCCCACAAUGGAACUGCGACGAGGCCCAAAAGCCUACGGGAGGCAGCAGUGAGGAAUAUUUGUCAAUGGGCGUUAGCCUGAACCAGCCAAGUAGCGGGAAGGAGGAAGGCUUAUGGGUCUUAAACUUCUUUUAUAUAAGAAUAGGUAUGAGAUGAAUAAGGAUCGGCUAACUCCGUGCCAGCAGCCGCGGUAAUAC
rnacentral:rRNA from 1 species